rnacentral:lncRNA from 1 species
CCCCUAUCCAAAUGGACUCCAAAUGACCCCAAAUUUGGUAAGCAUACAUAAGGUACCAUCAAUAUCAACUCUCUAAACCGGAAUCCUUAGAUUCAACUUGUAGCUCAAAAUGGCACGGCGCUGACAUCGAACACCGCACAUGAUCCUCACCAUGCCUCCGCCCCCUUGGGCUCACACCAAGCCCUCUCCAAAUCACAUUGGCACUCUUAGGACAUGUCAUGCAACAUAUAUAGAUGCUUGUUGCCUCAUGUUAUGCCCCUUUGCCUCAUCUUCGACUUCAGCAUAUCCCUCAGCACAUGCCGCCUGCAUAACUGACAAGGUUGCGGCCUAGUUGGCACGCACAAUCCUGGCGAGUGACAGGCCCCAAAACUUUGGGCGUCACACCCUCACACACCUGAAGUAGUCAUUGUCCUCAAUGACAUGCAACACCGACGACAACCCGAAGUCUGCACCCUUGGGGAUUUACAUCGCGGCCCCCAAAUCCUUGUGUGUAGGUACUCUUGCGAGAUCCUUCUUAAAAAUAGAGUCAGGCCCCUUUCCCUUCUCCCCCUAGUUUUAUCCAAGCGUGCACUCCGCACUUCUGCUCGAACAGUGUCUCCACACCUGCAUCCUCUGGUGACUAACUUUGUGGUGACCUUAAGUCAUAUCCACACCAUGCUCCUCACGACCUUCAUCUUGUCUGGGAAUCUGUUUCCACCCUGGCGAUCCUACUAGCCCAUCCAUACCUGGCAUGUCUAGCCCUUUGAUCCUUUUCCUCUGGUAGACAACUAUCUUCCCUCCUGGACUUCUGCCUUUUAAGCACGACAUAGCUAGGUAGGCAUCCCUCGAUGAGGCAUCUUUGCCAACCAUACCCUUGUGGUCCUUAUCUUCUUUCCUCGAGCGACGUCACUGGCGGUAGCCUAACUUACGAACUUUGUCCCAAUAAUCAUUCACAAUAGCCUUUGCAAACCCAUGCUUCACCAUGGCACCUUUGGGCAUCUCGUGUGCUCCGCGCCCAUAGGCACCUCACACUCUCUUGGGAUGUACCCUUUCGCAAGUACUUGUCUCAACGUACCGGCAUCUGCACACUACUCUGUGAAUUAGAUGCUUCGUUCAAAACUCUGUCUUUCCCUUCGCAGUCCUUCGACGUUCGGGGUACCCUUGUACCUAUAGUCUAUGGCGAGAACUCCCUUGGUUCACCCAUCUGCGGCCUCCGACCCGCUCUUCUACUCUUGGAAAGAACCCAUCCUCGAACUUGGAAUCCAAUUCAUUUUCAACGCUUUAGCUAAUCCUACUUUGACGACUUUCCUUACCUAUAGUACUUUGGCACAACACCUCUUCACGAAAUGGUUGGGUUUAUGCGUGAUGCUCACACACCUGAUGGCUUUACCUCCACCUGACUUUAACGCCCAUCUUCCC